rfam:Salmo salar isolate Sally breed double haploid chromosome ssa24, whole genome shotgun sequence.
UGUUGUCCGGGGCUCUUUUAAUGUUGUACUACUGUGAAAUCAGAUGAGCAGUGCAAUAUUAAAAGGGCAUUGGCUGACA